GUCGGGGUAGCUCAGUGGUAGAGCACAGCACUCAUAAAGCUGCGGUCGUGGGUUCGAUCCCCACCCUCGACACUA
rnacentral:tRNA from 2 species